rnacentral:tRNA from 1 species
GGUUCCGUAGUGUAGUGGUUAUCACGUUCGCUUCACAAGCGAAAGGUCUCCGGUUCGAUCCCGGACGGAACCA